rnacentral:misc_RNA from 1 species
GUUGAUACCAAAUGUACUAGAAGGCUCCAGUCAAGUUACGAUGCCGUGUAAGUAAUCAACAGUUGAAGGGAAUCUGAAAACUAUAAUGUGGAACGAAGUUGAUGACUCAGGAAAUGAUAUCUAGAUAAACCAGAAGUCAUUGUAUCUCCAAGCGUUGUAUGUGAAGGCAACUCGUUUACCUUAACUUGCAGUAACAUCAAUGUUAACCCAUCUACACCGAUACAAGUCACGUGGUUAAAAGACAACAUCAUCAUUAGCAACGAUAGCUCAAGGUACGAAAUAUAUGAAGAUUUUAAUAGAAUUCGAAUUUCGUUCGCAUCUGUUGAUGACAGUGGAAAUUACCAGUGCAGAGUAAAAAAUGACGCACACAGAAAAGGAAGGUCAAGUUUAGAGCUAAAUAUAUCAGUCUGUAAAUCAUGUCUUCCGUUUAAGAUAUACACUUACACGGUUCUUGCCGUUACCGCAGUUACAGCAUUUAUUCUUGGUUCUUUUCCAACUUGUCUAAUAUGCCACUGCAUCCGUAAAGGACAAGAUCGUCACCAGUAUCAGAUGCAUCAGAACAAAACAUUUCUGUUGAAUUCUGCGGAAUACAGUAGCAAAGCUUUACACAAUGAUGAUGGUUCUGCAGCCAGAAACGCCCCGAAUGAGAAAAAUGAGCAUCACUCUAGAUUUGACUUCAACGUCGUUUAUUCGGAUCCGAUAUAUGAUGUAAUAAAUGCUGACGAAUACGAGCAAAAUAAGCCUAUUUAAUUAUGCAGCUGCUGAAGUAAUUGCAAAAUCCAUAAUAGUCUAUACUUAUCUAUUGCAUUGAACUCGGAAAAGUACUACAUUACUUAAAGUUAGCUAUGGUUGUUCCUGUGGGGAAAAAAGUAUUAAAACAGAGUGUCGUAACUAACAGAUUUGUGUAUGCUUAUUUUUUUAUUGAAAAUCGUAAAGGGAAUUGUUUAUGCUCAAGUUUAUGAGUACAUCCUAAAACUGUAUUAAGCCUGGCACUCACUGCGCCAGAUGGUCAUCAGCCGAAUAGUUUACAUCAAUGAUAACUGCUAUUUUGUCUCGACAAAAUUCUAAUUUGUUUAGACAAAAACUCAGAUUUGCCGAUGCACAUUUUCCCGUGAACUGUAUAAAUGAUCACUGUCGACAGGUGGCGUAAUGAAUUCCUUUGUUAAAUUGAAAUCGAACACACACUGAAAGUAUAGACUCCUAAGUGGGGCGUGUCUAUUGCUUGAUAUCCUUUUUUUGUUUACUAAUUUCAACUCAUCCAACGUUUUUUGGGGCUUUACUACCCCCACUAGGACCAAUUUCAAAAGGAUUUAGGCGAUGCCUGACAAUGCGAACUUUGCUCUUGACAGAAACAUCGUACCCCCGUUGGGCAAAAUCCUGUCGCCAACCUUCAUCAUAUGUACUGUUAGAAUUUUUAAUUGCAGAUUCACAGUGAUAGGCUAUAUUGUUGUACGUUUAAAACUUAUUGUACUUUUUGUCUGUAUGCAUGCUUGAGUAACCUCUAAUAACCUCACAUAGUGAAGGCUCCGUGUAACUAAUUAUGCAGACAUGAAAUUCAAGGUGUUGUGUUAACUCAUAUAUAUGAUGUCUAAUAAAAACGGUUCUUUUUUUACAUACAUUUGUUAUGUUUAUUAUACUUGAAAGACCA